rnacentral:rRNA from 1 species
AGAGCGAACGCUGGCGGCAGGCCUAAACAUGCAAGUCGAACGGACCCUUCGGGGUUAGUGGCGGACGGGUGAGUAACACGUGGGAACGUGCCUUUUGGUUCAGAACAACUCAGGGAAACUUGAGCUAAUACUGAAUAAGCCCUACGGGGGAAAGAUUUAUCGCCAUUAGAGCGGCCCGCGUUGGAUUAGCUAGUUGGUGAGGUAAAGGCUCACCAAGGCUACGAUCCACUAGCUGGUCUGAGAGGAUGAUCAGCCACACUGGGACGUGAGACACGGCCCGACGACUCCUACGGGAGGGCAGCAGUUAGGAAUCUUGCGCAAUGGCGAAAGCCUGACGCAGCCAUGCCGCGUGAAUGAUGAAGGUCUUAGGAUUGUAAAAUUCUUUCAGUGGGGAAGAUAAUGACUGUACCCACAGAAGAAGCUCCGGCUAACUUCGCGCCAGCAGCCGC